CCUGAAAAAACACACCACAAAAGAUGAAGUUCAUAUCAUACGUGAAAAAUAGGAAGUAACAUUUGAUGUGCCUUACAAGGGGUGCAAGGAACUUGAAAAAAUACGAUCAUUUGGAAACGCUCACAAAACAAAGAUUUCUGAAUUAACAAAGAAAAAUAAAAUGAAAAAACUUUGCACUUGUUUUGAUAAGAUGAGAUCACUACAAAAUAAAUAACAAAGGUUGAACUUGCACCUUUUUUUGAUAAGAAGAAUCGCCACAAAAAGUAAAACAAAUACAAGAACAAACACCACACUCUUAGAAAAGAAAGAUUGAAGAGUGAUAAAUUCUUGGGAUAGGUUAGUUUGCCACCAACAUGAAUUUGUUAGAUGAAUUGAAGGGAAAAAAAAUUCAGCACCACUUUAUUAUAUUGAUAAAAAAAACUCUCUCAUGUGUUUCACUCGGUCUCGUGUGGUAUGUUCACUCCCUCACGUGUUUCACACUCUUGGCUCUAGUGCUACCAAAUCCAAGCUCUGAUACCAAAAAUAAUGUGCCUAAAAUACAAUAAAUUACGAUGAUCGUUUGAUAGCUUUAAAAACAAAGGAAAUUUUGACUAAGAAGCUAAAGGAUAAUGAAAACUGAAUUUAUGAGUUAAGACAAGUGAAACAAGGAAAGAAAUCAAAGACACAAGCAACAUGAAAUUCGGCCACAAUGAACAAAGUUAGGUUUUAAUGGAAUUAACUGACAAGACAAAAACAAACUCAAAAUGGUAAACUGACAAGACAAAAACAAACUCAAAAUGGUAGGAAUAUGAGUCUACCACCAGGAGACUUUAAAGUGAAUAACCUUGAAACAGUUAAAGAACACAAUAAACGCUAAAGGAAAAAAACACAACUUCAGCUAGAACAAAGGAAUUUAGAGUUGUUGGAUUAUUCUUAAGUAACUCAAAGAAAUAAGAAACUAAAGACAAAGAAUAAGAAAAAAAAAAUUGCAAGAAAGUUUUGAUAUGUCAAAACGCCACAAAGUCUCCAAGCAAGGAUGGAAAUAAGUUAGAAAACACCACAAAGAAACUUCAAAAAAACAAAGGUAGACGCCACAUUAUAAAGUGAUAAACCUAGGAAUUCGCCACAAUCACAAUGAUUGAUAAAAAUAUUGGUAGCAACUUUGCUGAAAUUGAAUCUCCAAAAAUUUUUCUUUACUACAUGGGUUCUUCCUUCUAUUUAUAAAGCUUAUAUCAAACAGUAAAUAAGAAUAUUAACUAAUCCUCCACAUAAAAGGACUACGAAACUAAAUAGGAAUUAAUGCAAAGUCUAAACAAGAAAGGACUAGAAAUACUAAAGAAGAAAUAACAAUUAAGAAUAAUUAGAAAGAAAACUUAGUCAUCAAGUAAGAAGCUUCAUCAAAGAUGCCAAGUUGCUCCUAAACUAAAUGGGAACAUAAAAGUCAACAAAAAACACUAAAAUCUCCUAUAUAUGAGCUGCCAAAAUUGAAGAAAUAAUAGGUGAAAAUGGACCCAUUAAUUGGAGAAAAUAAUGGCGCAAAUUAACACAUUUCCCCCCUUCUUUUCCAAGCUCCAACUUCUCAAACAUGCCAUAUUGAAUCAGAUUUGAUCUUCUACAAGUUAUGGGCUCCUCAGAUAGCAUGCCUUUAUGAUGAGGCACAUCAACAUUUUCCAUCAUAGUAAAGCUUAGAUAAGAACGCUUAAAGACUCCUCUUUAGAAGCUUCACAGUUAAGUUCUACAUCAAAUAUUAGAAAUAAAAAAGAAAGCCGAUCCUUCAACAUCUCAGGUUCCAUUUUCUUUUUUGGAUAAAUAGAAAGUACAAAUAGCAUAGAAUAGGAGUAGAAUUCGAAAGUAGCAGUUUUAAUAGGCAACAACUUACAACUUACAAGCACAAGGUUAAAAAAUGAUUACAAGACAGUUAGCGUUACAUUGAAUAAAAGCCAGCCAACUCAAUGUUCUACGCUAAGCUCGUCUAUAACCUCAUUGGACUCUACUUUCUGAUGACCAAAAGAACAAAUUUACAAAUCUUCAUUUAAUGUAAUAUAAAUGGAAAUUAUUAACAAUGAGAGUCCACUAACGGGUUUAGAUGACUUACAUUAUCUUGAUCAACUUCUCUGAUUAUAUCUUCAAGUAAAACAUCAGUCAUGUUAUGUUCUGCGCAUGCUUGCUGAAGCUCAUCAACUGUGAUAUAGCCACUUCCAUCCUUAUCAAAGUAUGAAAAGGCUGCAAAUAGAUGAUCUUCUCUCUCAAUUUUGUUAAGAUGCAAUGUUGCAGCUAUAAACUCCCCGUAAUCAAUUGUGCCGCUAUUGUCUACAUCAGCUGCUUGCAUCAAAUCAUAAAUUUCGGAUUCCUUGAGAUUUGCUCCAAAUCUUUUCAAUCCAGCCUUAAGCUCCUCAAAACUAAUUGUACCACUGUUGUCGGUAUCUAUCAUCUUAAACAUUUCUUUAAGCCCAGCUAUUUCCUCUUCAGAUAGGCUCUCUGCAAUGAUUCUAAGAGCCAUUUUCUUGAGCUUGUUCAUAGCAGAAAAUUGCUUCAUUCGGCUUAAGACAGCAGAAUCCAGAGGUUUGUCAGGAGCUACUCCAUCUUCCUGCACCCAAGGGUGGCACAGAACUUCAUGUGCAGUUAUCCGCCCUCUAGGAUCUCGCACAAGCAUUCUCCUUACUAAAUCCUUAGCACCAUCUGAGAUACUAGGCCAAGGUUCAGAAGAAAAGUCUAGAUCACCAUGAAGGACCUCUUCAAAGAUACCCUGCUCGGUCUCUGCCCAAAAGGGAGGAACUCCACUUAACAGAAUGUAAACAAUUACUCCAGCACUCCAAACAUCUGCUUCGGGGCCAUAUUGUUUUUUCAGAACUUCUGGCGCAACAUAAUAUGGGCUGCCAACCACAUCACUAAAUUUUUCUCCUGGCUUGAAGAAUAUAGAUAACCCAAAGUCAAUUGUUUUCAGAAGUGAGUCUUCUUGUUGAUUGACAAAAAGAAAAUUCUCAGGCUUAAGGUCUCGAUGCAUCACCCCCAAUGAAUGGCAAGCCUCAACUACUCCAACUAUUGUCCUAGUGAGCUCAGCUGCCUGUCUUUCUGAAUAAUGCCCACGCUGAACAAUCCUAUCAAAGAGCUCACCACCUGCACAUAGCUCCAUAACAACAUGGACUGCCAUUGCAUCCUCAUAUGCCCCUUUAAUAGAUAUGACAUUUGGAUGACCAGCCAAAUGGUGCAUUAUC
rnacentral:misc_RNA from 1 species